rnacentral:rRNA from 1 species
CCUACGGGAGGCAGCAGUGAGGAAUAUUGGACAAUGGGCGAAAGCCUGAUCCAGCAAUGCCGCGUGAGUGAUGAAGGCCUAUUAGGUUGUAAAGCUCUUUUAGCAGGGAAGAUAAUGACGGUACCUGCAGAAAAAGCUCCGGCUAACUACGUGCCAGCAGCCGCGGUAAUACGUAGGGAGCUAGCGUUGUUCGGAUUUACUGGGCGUAAAGAGCGCGUAGGUGGUUAUACAAGUUAGAAGUGAAAUCCCGGAGCUUAACUUCGGAACUGCUUCUAAAACUGUAUAGCUUGAGUGUGGUAGGGGGUAAUAGAAUUCCUAGUGUAGAGGUGAAAUUCUUAGAUAUUAGGAGGAAUACCGAUGGCGAAGGCGAUUACCUGGGCCACUACUGACACUGAGGCGCGAAAGCGUGGGGAGCAAACAGGAUUAGAUACCCUGGUAGUCCACGCAGUAAAUGGUGAGUGCUAGAUGUCGGGAAUUUUAAUUCUCGGCCUCGCAGCUACGCAUAGUACACUCCGCCGUCGGGUAGGUACGGUCGCGAGAAGUUAAACUACAAUAGUAAGUUAGUACGGUUCGUUGUAGAGUUGCCGACGGCGACGACGAGGGAGGAGG